UAAAAUUAAUCUUGUAAAAUAUAUUCACUAAAAAAAAUUAAAAAAGAAUGAAAAAUUAAACAAAAAAUAUUAUUUAAUUUGGUUUUUUGAACUUAGGAUUAUACUAAUUAAGUGUAAUUCACGUACCACGAACCGAAUUAUAAGAUUCAUGUACCGUUUUCUUAAUUGGCAUUCCAUCUAAGCCUACUUCCCUCGUAUCCUAUAUUUAGUUAAGUGGUGUACCGUGUACCCAUACCACAAUCCAAAAUGUACCACGUUCCAGGUAACUAUGCCAAGAACCAACAAUAGCCCAGUGGCUUUGUAGAAAAGAUAAAAGGAUAGCUUUGCAGGAUGGGCUAAUCGCCUGUGAAAUUAUUUCUACAAAUUAUUUACUCCCAAUUCCAUUAUGUAAGAAAUUGGUUAAUAUUCCAAAUAUGAAAUUUAAGACCCUUUCACCUACAUCCUUGUCUUAGCAAUCACCUCGCUUCCUACCCCAUUCAUUUCCAUGGUCCUUGGCCUAGUCCAUGUCUCUUUGAAUUGCUUCUCAGUCAUUCCUGCAAAACACAAUUCAAGUUGAUCAAACAACAAUUACCAAAAAAAGAAAUUGAACUAAUUACAUAAUUCUUCUUCUUAAUUAUCUAUCGAUCACUUGCCUCUGCCCAUGGCAGCAGUGGAAGAGAUGCCUCCCUAAAUAGUCCAGGUACCUAUCAUAUCCCUGAGUCCUAGUCGACUUAAGUGAUGUGUUGCAUAUGUUGAUUGUAGUCCAUAUUCAGGAAUUUAUUUACAGUAAAAUGGUGCAAUUUGCUCAAUGGUCAAUUUGCCAAUUUUAACAAUAUACCACCUUCAAAAUUGCCAAAUGGUCAAUUUGCCAAUCUUGACAAUACACCACCUUCCAAUAUGCUAGGAACACCAAUCAAGUUUCUGCCAAGCAAUUAAAUUCCAAAUUUUUGCCAAUUAAUUAAAAGCCAA
rnacentral:misc_RNA from 1 species